UUUUCUACAAAUCGAAAUAAUCUGAAAUUUAGAGCGUGUGUUCAUCAAAAAUAGGCAAAUCUACUUAAAAUAUCAAAAAAAUAUUUCACAUGAAGCAAAUUGACUAAAAUACUCCCGAAAAGUUUCAAGGGCAUUUUGGUCAAUGUUUUUUAGGAAUUAUUUUUUUUAUAUUUUUAUUAGGUGUGCCUCACUAAGAUGUACACACACUCCAAAUUUCAAAUUAUUCCGAUUGGUAGAAAA
rnacentral:pre_miRNA from 1 species